AUGCAGGACACUGUGGAAGCCCUGGACAUCACUGAGGAAGGUUUGGAGACUCUGCUGUGCUACCUGGAGCUGCACUGUCAGCAGGGGGUAGAGCUGCUCCACCCCACCCUCUCCACCUGUAAGAUGGUCAGCUCUGCAAACUCACCUAGAUCUGCCCACCUGUUGCCGUGGUGUUGGCCCGGAAAUGGAUGGCAGGGGAGGGAGUGGAGGCUUGUGAUUCACUGGGCUUUGACGUGGUGGAGGUGGCAGACACUAUGGGCUGGCAGCUGGGUCUGGUGAAGAGAGGUCUCAGACAACUACAAUGGGCCACAAACGG
rnacentral:lncRNA from 1 species